GCGUCACGUUGAGUCAUCACACUUAGUGUUAACAUAUACGCAAGAUACACACACACUCAGAUAAUCAAAAACAUAAAAUAUAAAGUGCUUGAAAUUUUCGAAACGAAAUUAUAUCGGAAAAAAAAAAUAAUAAUCGUCUCGCGUCCUGAUUUGGAAAAUCCCUAGGUUGGUUCUUUUAGAUUUCUUAAACGCGUUUUUUUUUUCUGUAGACACAUCUUAAUUUAUAUAUUUCAUGAGAUUUUGCAAUCAAAGAGACUUAUUACAGACUAUCUCGUUAAAAAUAUUUAAAAAAUACUUGUUUUUAUAGUUUAUAAUUCUUUUGUUUCUCACUGAAGAAUAUUUGUUCAGAGCGAUUAGUGUGGCAAAUGUUAAACGCACACACGACAAGUGUUAAUUCAGUCCCACAGUAGAGCGAAAAAAAUUUCAAAAAUCUCUCUGUUCUCGUGUGCGACAAGUAAAAAAUCAUCAAAUAUAUUUCAUGAGUGAUAUCGUGUGUAUAAAUGUAUGUACAUAUAACGCUGCGCGGGAAGCAAUGCGAUACGAACGCGGGAUUUCAAAGAGAACUAACGGUAUAGUACUACCAUCUCGAGAAUGUUGCUCGAACUUUCGUCGUAAUUUUCAUUGAUUGAUACCGCAAACGUCGACAGCAACAAAUUUCUUAUCUUCGUCCGGUACCACGAUCGAUUGUCGCGUGCAACAGCGGGAGAUUCGAGAAUGCGCGGUUACGUCACGCGUGUGGAAACAACGCAGCUUUCUCUAAUCUAACGGAUUAAGGCGAUUUGCAUUUGUCUUCUCUUUUAGCCUUAUCUUAUCGCAUCCCAACAACUCGCGAUUUUGCAUAAAAAUACACGAACUGAAUUCUUACAAGAUGCAAAAAUCUCUCGUCGAAUUACAAUAGCAUCGCUAAAAUGAUUAAUGUUCUUGUUUGUUUCUUGAACUUAUUUGUUCAACCGUUUUACACUUACUUUAUAAUUACUUUAUAGUUUUACUUUUGUUUACAACUUUUAACAUUAUUUUUAACACGUUCGUUUCUAAAUAGAAGACAAAUUUUUCUUGCAUUUCGUUGUACUUGCUUCGAUGGCUACCAAGUGCAGUGUUCAAUAUCGCGCGAUCUUGAAUCUGUAGAUGAAUAAACACGCACGAUCGUAUUUUGGACGAUCUACAAAAAAUAAAUGUGUUAGGCCUAAGCGCGUUGAAGUCACCUAGCGCGUGCGCGCGAUGGCUCGGCGAUCUCUUCAAGCGAGCUUUCGCUAGAAACGAGUGUGUGGAUUUUGGCAUUCAAAUCCCUCGAUUGCGAGCUAAGCUAUCUUAUCGCAGAAUUGCAAACAAACGCAUUCAAAAUCUCAUUAAUAAUCAAAUCACUCGAUUAUGCACUGUGUAUAUGGUGAAAAAAAUUUCGUUGACCAAAUUGAGUCGAUAAUUUGAUUUCGCUCUCCUCGCGUCGAGGAAAUAAUGAGAUCGCAAUGAUAAAAAGACACCAAUAAGAUAAAAACGUUAAUUGAGAGGAAGCUAAAGCGUAGACGUAACUCUUGUUAUAGAAAAUACUCGCGCUGUUAUAAGAAAAAUAAAUUUAUAAUUCGUGUACCGUCCCAAAGACUGAUCAGUUCUCGACAAAAAGCUAAACAAGAGGAACACAUUAAAAUCCCACUUGUAAUAGAGCUCGGGAUAUACCAUUUAUAAACCCGACAAAGUGAGUCAUUGGGAAUCGCGCCGCUGAUCAAGCUUAACGGCUUUUCUUCGUUUACUUCUCUUACUUGUGUGUGUGUGUGUGUGUGUUUAUUUUAUCGGCGUGGACUCUUCCUAUAAUCAAGACCACAUGUGUGUGACGUGAUGUCGCCCGAGAAACAAUUGCAGGUCUUGUUGCGCACAUAUGUGUGACUGACUCAUCGUGGAACAUGAAUUCUGCAAUCGACACGCCUGAAAUAUACAUCACGUCGUUGUGUCUAGUUGAAGAUAUAGCGAAGUCAAAGGAACCUACUGUACCUACCAAUGGUGCCUAUAUAUUUUCUAAAUGUACAUAUAUAUAUGUAUAUACAUAUAAUGUAACAAAGUCUAUCGUUAUUUUUAUAUUUUGAUAUUUAUCUUCUUUCGAGCAAUAGAUUCAGUGUCUGAUUAUAGUGCGUUUUGUUGCGCUAUUGUUUAUCCAUCGUUUAUUUUUUUAAUUGAGAGAAAUUGUAAUUUUUCUACGUCAUCGUAUCGCCUUUCCUCAUGUCUUUUCAAAAACUCUCAAGAUCGUAAAAUUGAAAAUCAUACUUCUUGUCUCACAAAAGCUUUUUAGUCCUACGUGUAUAAAAUUUAUCAUGUUUGUCUCAAAACUUCAAUACGACACAACGAAAAAAUUUUCCCGUUAAUCAAACUAAAAAAAAUCGAAGCAAACAAUGAGAAAAGGAGAUAGGGAUUUAAAGGUAAAAUUUGCUUUUUCUCACGUGGGAAGAUUUGUCGCGCCAUCAAGCGUCGCACGGUCGUACUAUUGAUCGCGACUUCACCCUUCUGCUAUUCCUCGCUGUGCCGAGCUCGCCGAGUCCGAGCGAAGAUGGCGACUGGAGGGUAGGAUUGUGUACAGACGCUGCGCUGCGAAGACGAUUCUCUUUCUCCGACGGAGACGGCCGUCGAUUAAUCGGAGCCAGUUGCCCGCCUGACUCGAAAUCCGAUGGUGGCGGGUAUCUCCGGGGUUUGCGGCUGAUUCUGGAUUCACUGCAGUGGCUAAAAAAACACACACACACACACACGCUAAUACACACGUACACACACAAUAAUUAAUCAUUCGCUCAUUCUUCGUUUCAUGUCGAUAUCUAAAAAUAAUACAAGCAAUUAACACGCAUGUAACAUUGAAACUUUCGUUGCUACUUCUCGUCAUAAAUGUCUAGUCAGAGAAACAAACGACCGAAGUAGAAGUAAUAUUUUGGCGCGAAGAAAACGCCGUGACGCACUCUCUCCGAUUCGGUUUAUCGUGAGAUAAAUCGAAAAGGCGCAAGCCAAAGAGUAAAUAUAGAAUCAAGAUAACCAAGCUGAUUCAGUGGGAUCUCGACGAUCGUUCUCUUCGCGAGGCGUCAUGCCCCGAUGAUGGUAUCGUGGCCGAAGAAAAAUCGAUUUUUUCGCGUAUUAAAAUAGUUCCUGUCUACAUCAACGAAAAUCGACGUUGCGAAAUAAGGAAAACAAAAAAAUUUGAUUCGAGAAACAAUCGAUUGUCAUUAACUUUCGUCGAUGUUGCGUCAUCAAUGUUUGCGUUGAUGUUAGAGAUAAGAUUAACUCGAAAUACUUAAUUGUAGUAUAUUAUCCGAAUGCCAUCGAAAGCAAAGAGUAAAAAAAAAAACAAUUACGCUCAAGAACGUAACGACAAGUAACGAAAAGAAACGCGAAACAGAAAAAAUACUUUUAGGAAAGAAUUUUAGAUUUAAUCAAAUCUUUCUUUUUUUGUAAAUUGAAAAAAAUAACAAUUGUUUUUGCUCGUCAUCGAGUUUUUGGAGUUAUUCUCGAUCUCGCUCGAAGAUUACGGCGGGCUGGACGAGUGUGUCCCGUGGUAACAUCGAUGCUAGCUAAUCGAGUCAAUAGUUCCAAUUCAGCGACCAUGAGUGAUACACACGUGUUCUGAUCGUCGUUUUAGUCGUUGCUUCGCUAAAAGAGAAUUUAUCAAAAUUUAUACGUGCGUUCGAGCGACUUUUGGUGCAAUAAUUUUUUCCUGAUUGUUGAGCGAAUUUUAUUUCAUUGAUCAUAUUUAAAUUUAUGUUUUAUAAUUAACAUAUUAGUAAAAUUAUAACGAAUAAUAACAUUAUCGGAGACUAUAUUGUUAAAAUAAUAUAGUCAAUAUUGACGAGAAAUGUGCGAUACACCGUAGCUACUCGCGUACAGUGGCGGAACGAGUUUUUGAAAGAACAUAUUGUGUGCGCGGAGACUCGAAUGCUUCUUAUACUUUAAAAUCAACAACCGGAGUGUUGUCUCGAAUUAAUAGUCCGACAUCUCCGAAAAUGUAUCUCCGACGUAGAUAAGAUAGAUAACGAUCAGUAUUGCCAGCGGACAAACAACAGAAAAAAAAAAAAAA